CGUAGGGUGCGAGCGUUAAUCGGAAUUACUGGGCGUAAAGCGUGCGCAGGCGGUUUGUUAAGAUAGGCGUGAAAUCCCCGGGCUCAACCUGGGAACUGCGCUUAUGACUGGCAAGCUAGAGUACGGCAGAGGGGGUGGAAUUCCACGUGUAGCAGUGAAAUGUGUAGAGAUGUGGAGGAACACCAAUGGCGAAGGCAGCCCCCUGGGUCGAUACUGACGCUCAUGCACGAAAGCGUGGGUAGCAAACAGGAUUAGAUACCCUGGUAGUCCACGCCCUAAACGAUGUCAACUAGGUGUUGGGAGGGUAAAACCUUUUAGUACCGGAGCUAACGCGUGAAGUUGACCGCCUGGGGAGUACGGCCGCAAGGUUA
rnacentral:rRNA from 1 species